UUGUCCAUCACCCCUUGCCUUCUCCUGCUCUAUUUCCAAGCUAAGUCCCCUAACUUCUUUGCAGAUUCAAUUACGUUGGCAAAUGGCUUUAACUCAGUCCUCUCAAGUGAGGAUGUUGGUGGUUGUCUUAGCCAUCAUAGUUCUCAUGUCAUCUGCUAGUGCCGCUGUUAUCCCCCAGGAUUUGAUCCUGAAACCUAUUAAUCUGGGACGGAAGCUUCUUGCUAAUUAUUAUAACCCUCCCAACGCAUAUCCUGGUAUACCAAGUGGAUCAGGAGGCUAUCCAUGCUGCAAAUAAGAAGCUAUAAACUCUGCAAAAGAGUUGAGAAGAAAAAGAAUGACAAGAACAAGGGCAAAGACAUUACUGUAUUUGUUUUUAAGUGAAUUGAGUGUAUGGUUAGGAAAAAUAUAUAAGAGAAUAAAAUGAAAGGCACAAACCGUAUUAGUAUCUGUGACUCCAUAUUCAUUCAGUCUAGAUUGCUGUCAAGUGUUAAACCAGAUAGCUCCUUCUUCUUUGCUCUGUUUUUUUUUUUUUUUUGACCAUAUUGUAUUGAUUAAAUGCUUUCAUUAGUAUAUGUCUCAAGGCUUAAUUGUUUUGAGAAACUUUAAAUUGUUGAGUU